UACGGGGGGAGCAAGCGUUGUUCGGAAUUACUGGGCGUAAAGGGCGCGUAGGCGGACAGUUUAGUCAGAUGUGAAAUCCCCGGGCUUAACCUGGGAACUGCAUUUGUGACUGCAUGGCUGGAGUGCGGCAGAGGGGGAUGGAAUUCCGCGUGUAGCAGUGAAAUGCGUAGAUAUGCGGAGGAACACCGAUGGCGAAGGCAAUCCCCUGGGCCUGCACUGACGCUCAUGCACGAAAGCGUGGGGAGCAAACAGG
rnacentral:rRNA from 1 species